rnacentral:lncRNA from 1 species
GAUUUUAAAAUAUGUUAACAAGGAUCUAAGGAGCUACCAGAACCAAAAGUUCAAAACAAAUCCAGAAUAUCUCAGAGCUACUAGAAAUAAAAGUUGAAAACUAAUUUAGAAUAUAUUUGCUCAUAGCAUGGCGACCCCACUUAGUGGAAUAAGGCUUUUGUUGCUGUAUUUGCUCGUAGUAUGUCAAGUUAUCCAUAUAUUCCAGGAAGCCAUCAGGGCACUAACAUGUUUAUUCAUUGUAGAAUGUAGCUAACUUUUAAAAUCUUUGUCUGCAGUUAAAGUAUCAACCGUCAAAUCAAGCUUUCCGUGGUAAAUCAAUAUAACAAAAAAUAAAACAGUUGUAUAAACUAACGACAUUAAAUGGGAUGGAUUGUCCAUGUAAAUUAACCUUACAUGUGCAGUUUAUGAGAAUCCACUAUUUUGAAAUGUUGGUUCAUUCUUGUAACUGAAUCUUAAAAGGAAAUUGUUGUUUUUUACGAACAAUCCUUCAAAGGAUGCGAAGAACAGCUUAUUGGUUCCUAUUUCACCCACUCCUCCUCCCGUGUGUUGCGACAAAUUCAAUUGAAAAGUGUCAUAAGUUGUUUUCAUAAAUU